AUACUUACCUGGACGGGGUCAAUGGAUGAUCAAGAAGGUCCAUGGCCUAGGGAAGUGACCUCCAUUGCACUUAGGAGGGGUGCUUUCCUAAGGUCUGCCCAAGUGGCAGAGCCUACGUCAUAAUUUGUGGUAGUGGGGGCCUGCGUUCGCGCGGCCCCUUU
rfam:Glycine soja cultivar W05 scaffold1092_3, whole genome shotgun sequence.